CGCGGUAAUUUGACCGUGCGAAGGUAGCAUAAUCAAUAGUCUUUUAAUUGAAGGCUUGAAUGAAUGGUUGGACGAGGGAUAAGCUGUCUCUUUUGGCGUGUGUUGAAUUUGACUUUUAAGUGAAAAGGCUUAAAUUGAUUAAAGGGACGAUAAGACCCUAUAAAACUUAAUAUAAAUUAAGCUUGGUUUGUGAUUUGCGUGAAAAAUAAUUUUGUUUGGUUUGUAUUUCGUUGGGGCGACGAAGAUAUAAAAUGUAACUGUCUGUUAAAAUUUAAUAAUAUUAAUUAGUGUUUGAUCCUUCUUUGUGGACUAUAAGAAUAAGUUACUUUAGGGAUAACAGCGUAAUUUUUUUUGAGAGUUCUUAUCGACAAAAGUAGUUGCGACCUCGAUGUUGAAUUAAAGUUUCAGCUAGGUGUAGCCGUUUAGCUGGUAAGUCUGUUCGACUUUUAAAACUUU
rnacentral:rRNA from 1 species